rnacentral:rRNA from 1 species
GCGAGGCCGAAAGGCGUAGUCGAUGGGAAACAGGUUAAUAUUCCUGUACUUGGUGUUACUGCGAAGGGGGGACGGAGAAGGCUAUGUUAGCCGGGCGACGGUUGUCCCGGUUUAAGCAUGUAGGCUGGUUAUCCAGGCAAAUCCGGAUAAUCAAGGCUGAGGUGUGAUGACGAGGCACUACGGUGCUGAAGUAACAAAUGCCCUGCUUCCAGGAAAAGCCUCUAAGCAUCAGGUAACAUCAAAUCGUACCCCAAACCGACACAGGUGGUCAGGUAGAGAAUACCAAGGCGCUUGAGAGAACUCGGGUGAAGGAACUAGGCAAAAUGGUGCCGUAACUUCGGGAGAAGGCACGCUGGUGUGUAGGUGAAGUCCCUGCG